GAUGAACGCUGGCGGCGUGCCUAAUACAUGCAAGUCGAGCGAACAGACGAGGAGCUUGCUCCUCUGACGUUAGCGGCGGACGGGUGAGUAACACGUGGAUAACCUACCUAUAAGACUGGGAUAACUUCGGGAAACCGGAGCUACUACCGGCUAAUAUAUUGAACCGCAUGGUUCAAUAGUGAAAGACGGCUUUGCUGUCACUUAUAGAUGGAUCCGCGCCGCAUUAGCUAGUUGGUAAGGUAACGGCUUACCAAGGCGACGAUGCGUAGCCGACCUGAGAGGGUGAUCGGCCACACUGGAACUGAGACACGGUCCAGACUCCUACGGGAGGCAGCAGUAGGGAAUCUUCCGCAAUGGGCGAAAGCCUGACGGAGCAACGCCGCGUGAGUGAUGAAGGUCUUCGGAUCGUAAAACUCUGUUAUUAGGGAAGAACAAAUGUGUAAGUAACUAUGCACGUCUUGACGGUACCUAAUCAGAAAGCCACGGCUAACUACGUG
rnacentral:rRNA from 1 species